UGGUGGAGUGAUUUGUCUGGUUAAUUCCGUUAACGAACGAGACUUCAGCCUGCUAAAUAGUUUAUGUCAACUUGUUGUCAAUAAACUUCUUAGAGGGACUAUAUGCUUUUAGCAUAUGGAAGUUGGAGGCAAUAACA
rnacentral:rRNA from 1 species